rnacentral:rRNA from 1 species
GACGAACGCUGGCGGCGUGCUUAACACAUGCAAGUCGAACGGAAAGGCCUGCUUUCCCUUGUGGAUUGCGGGUACUCGCGUGGCGAACGGGUGAGUAACACGUGAGUGAUCUGCCCCCAACUUGGGUAUAAGCCUGGGAAACUGGGUCUAAUUCCCGAUAGGACUGCAGGGUGGUGCCUGUGGUGGAAAACGAUUUUCUAGUGGUUGGGGAUGAGCUCGCGGCCUAUCAGCUUGUUGGUGGGGUAAUGGCCUACCAAGGCGGCGACGGGUAGCCGGCCUGGGAGGGUGGACGGCCACAUUGGGACUGAGAUACGGCCCAGACUCCUACGGGAGGCAGCAGUGGGGAAUAUUGCACAAUGGGCGGAAGCCUGAGGCAGCGACGCCGCGUGGGGGAUGACGGCCUUCGGGUUGUAAACUCCUUUCGACCGCGAGGAAGCCACCUGGUUGGAAGGGUGGUGACGGUAGUGGUAGAAGAAGCACCGGCUAACUACGU